UGGUCAAGUUAUUAAGGGUGCAGGGCGGAUGCCUUGGCACUAGGAGCCGAUGAAGGACGUGAUAAGCUGCGAUAAGCUUCGGGGAGUUGCACGUAAACUUUGAUCCGAAGAUUUCCGAAUGAGGAAACUCACUUAGAGUAAUGUCUAAGUAUCAUUAAGUGAAUACAUAGCUUAAUGAGGGGAACUCAGGGAACUGAAACAUCUAAGUACCUGAAGGAAGAGAAAGAAAGUCGAUUCCGUAAGUAGCGGCGAGCGAACGCGGAUUAGCCCAAACCAAUAAAGUUUUCUUUAUUGGGGUUGCGGACAUAUCAUAACGAAGAGGUAUCGUAAUUGAAGAGGUUUGGAAAGACCCACCAC
rnacentral:rRNA from 1 species